rnacentral:rRNA from 1 species
AGCGGCGGACGGGUGAGUAAUGCUUGGGAAUCUACCUAGUAGUGGGGGAUAACGUGUGGAAACGCACGCUAAUACCGCAUACGUCCUACGGGAGAAAGCAGGGGAUCUUCGGACCUUGCGCUAUUAGAUGAGCCCAAGUCGGAUUAGCUAGUUGGUGGGGUAAUGGCUCACCAAGGCUACGAUCCGUAGCUGGUCUGAGAGGAUGAUCAGCCACACUGGGACUGAGACACGGCCCAGACUCCUACGGGAGGCAGCAGUGGGGAAUAUUGCACAAUGGGCGAAAGCCUGAUGCAGCCAUGCCGCGUGUGUGAAGAAGGCUCUAGGGUUGUAAAGCACUUUCAGUAGGGAGGAACAGCUUAAGACUAAUACUCUUGAGCCUUGACGUUACCUACAGAAGAAGCACCGGCAAACUCCGUGCCAGCAGCCGCGGUAAUACGGAGGGUGCGAGCGUUAAUCGGAAUUACUGGGCGUAAAGCGCGCGUAGGUGGUUUGAUAAGCUAGCUGUGAAAGCCCCGGGCUCAACCUGGGAACUGCAGUUAGAACUGUCUGGCUAGAGUACAGUAGAGGGUGGCGGAAUUUCCUGUGUAGCGGUGAAAUGCGUAGAUAUAGGAAGGAACAUCAGUGGCGACGCGGCCACCUGGACUGAUACUGACACUGAGUUGCGAAAGCUUGAGGAGCAAACAGGAUAGAAUAGCUGGUAGUUCAAGCGGA